UACGUAGGGUGCAAGCGUUGUCCGGAAUUAUUGGGCGUAAAGAGCUCGUAGGCGGUCUGUCGCGUCGGCUGUGAAAACCCGAGGCUCAACCUCGGGCCUGCAGUCGAUACGGGCAAACUAGAGUACUGCAGGGGAGACUGGAAUUCCUGGUGUAGCGGUGAAAUGCGCAGAUAUCAGGAGGAACACCGGUGGCGAAGGCGGGUCUCUGGGCAGUAACUGACACUGAGGCGCGACAGCGUGGGGAGCAAACAGG
rnacentral:rRNA from 1 species